rnacentral:rRNA from 1 species
AUACGUAGGGUGCAAGCGUUGUCCGGAAUUAUUGGGCGUAAAGCGCGCGCAGGUGGUUCCUUAAGUCUGAUGUGAAAGCCCCCGGCUCAACCGGGGAGGGUCAUUGGAAACUGGGGAACUUGAGUGCAGAAGAGGAUAGUGGAAUUCCAAGUGUAGCGGUGAAAUGCGUAGAGAUUUGGAGGAACACCAGUGGCGAAGGCGACUGUCUGGUCUGUAACUGACACUGAGGCGCGAAAGCGUGGGGAGCAAACAGGAUUAGAUACCCUGGUAGUCCACGCCGUAAACGAUGAGUGCUAAGUGUUGGGGGGUUUCCGCCCCUCAGUGCUGCAGCUAACGCAUUAAGCACUCCGCCUGGGGAGUACGGUCGCAAGACUGAAACUCAAAUGAAUUGGCGGGG